GGCAAACAUAUUUCUUAUCCAACCCCACUUCCACAACUAAACACCACCAAUGUCAGCUCCUUCAUACUUGUCCUAGAUCACUGAAAAAAAAUCAAGAAAACACCCUUUUCUCCAAAGAAACUACAGAACCAACUAAUUACAUCAAAACUAAAACAGAUCUUCAAAUUCCCAAGUAAAAUCUUGAAACCCUAAAGGAAAAAAGCACAGUAAAUCAAGCAGCUUUUUUGGUACAGAUCUUUCUUUCUCUUUUUUUUUU
rnacentral:misc_RNA from 1 species